UAUGUUAAAGUGUAAGAUGCACAUAAGUUUUUGAUACUUAAAGAAACAGUUUAAUUCUGUUAUACAUAA
rnacentral:tRNA from 1 species